rnacentral:piRNA from 1 species
GUGAAUGAAUGGAAUGCUUACUAAAU